CACACACACACACACACACUGGGGAUGUCAGGCUUCCCGUUCAAAGUGUGUUUGCCUCAUUGAGAAAAGCUCAGAGCUCAUUCAGGCAGUAAAGCUCCACAGUGGCUGAACUUCAGUCCAGUGUUUAGUCUAAUCACUAGAACCCGGACACACCGAGCGCGAGCGCGACCCAGACAACUCGAACCAUGAGAAAGGUUAUUCCAGCCCUGUUGUCUGAGCUAGUGGCCGUGAUGAGGGAGAGAGAGCAUGGAGAGAUAGAGGGAGAGAGAGGGAGGGGAGCCUGAGCCGACAGACGACAGGAGUUCUCUCUUUUAUACCACAAAUAUUAACAUUAAUGCUGAGUAUAUCUGUUCAUGAUUUUAUUUAUUUUGUUUUAUUCAUAUCACAAAUCAUAUAUCAUCUCACAUAUGCUAUACAUACCAUUUACAGCAUUGUACAGUAUUGUUAUUAGAUUAUAUAUAGCUAAUUCUUUUUAAAUUUUCUUGUAACUCAUUAUGGAUACACAAUCAUUGUGAACUUUAGUUAUUUAUUAUUGCUGAAUUCUUGGAUGAGUUUUUUUAAGACACAAGGAAUGAUGCCAGAUUAAACGGUGAGCUCUGGUCUAGUACGUCUCUCAUGCAGGCAUAGCUGUAACACUGAACGUUACACUGAAACCUGAACGUAUUCUGCUUUUAGGUGUUGAAGUGUUGCAUUUCUUUCUGUAUUUAAUUUAAUAACAGUUAUAUUAAAAACCAUUAUUCAUGCUUGAACAUGAAACAUGUUCAAAUUGCACUGCAGUAACAAUUAACAAUUAAAUUCAGCUCACUUCACAUGAUAACAUGACUACGUGGAGAGAAACCAAAAAUAAUAUUCCAAACCAGAACCUCUUUUACAAACCUUUUUUCUUCCUAAAGAACCAGGAAUAUUAAUUUUAAUCUUACAGUAAGCAAGUUCUUCAAUCACAAUAAAUCAGCAUGAUUUAUUGUUUAAAAAAAAAAAAAAAAAAAAAAAAAAAAAAGUGUUCCUCAUAAGAAUUACAGUAACAAACAUGAAGCAUUGUAUUUUUUUCUCCAAAGGAACGCAGAGUCUGAGGAGAGUGUUUAUGGCCGAGCUCUCGAACAUCCCACCUGGUCGAGCGUAAUGCUACAGAAACCAUCUGUGCUAAAACUAUAUGAUAAACCAUUGCAUUGAACCACAUCUCUCAUUCUGUGCGCUGCAGAUAUUUUUUCACAAACUAAUGGGCUAAUGCGAUUUGGAAUUUAAGCUCAGUUUACGUUUAUCACGCAUGGGAUUUAAUACGAGUAAAUGUGUUUGGCAGUAAUAGCUGAUUCUUUCGUCAUCCUAUCUAAUGUAUUCAUUCAUUCAUAUAUAUAUAUAUUCUGUGCUUAUAUCUAAAGUUUUCAUUCAGUGUGAAAAUAUGUAACAAUUACCAGCACACCUUGAUGAAAACAUUAAAGAAAAUGAAAGAAACAAAUGUAUUUAAAUUUAUUGCAGGAAAUUUCACACAUUCCCUGUGCAUCCUACUGUAUAGUAGUGUUUAUUUAAAUACAGAACACUUAAAUUUUGCUUUGAUUAGAUGCUCUGAGCGUGUGUAUUCAGCAUAUUACCAAUCUUAGUGAGUGCAGUAAGAUUGAAUCACUGUAUUGUGUCAAUGCCCCCUGGGUAAGAAAAAUAAAGGCUUAUAAAUGCAA